AUGGAGAUAGAGUUCGAUUGCCCACAAGUAAAGAAUAUGAAAGUUGAGAUGACACGGCUGUCACGCAAUAUUGAUGACAGGGACAGCCAGAUCAGGUGCCUAAAGGCAAAGCUAAAGAAGAAGGAUGGGCAGGAAGCCGAGGACCUCACCCAGAUUUCUUUGAUGGCGUCUGAUGCGGUCCGGACCAUAGGCAUCUAUCCAUAUGAUGCGGAGUCUGACUGCUCUGAGUUUGAUGAGUUCCAAGGUUUCUAUCCUUCUGAUGACGCCGAGGAAAACCGUCGUGGAAGCUUCCUUGAUGACGAAGACUUCCUCUUCGACGAGAAUGACUGA
rnacentral:rRNA from 1 species